AGCAGGCUCCGUGCUGUCAACGCGGAGUCCGAUGCGGGGCCCGAACUCACCAACUGUGAGAUCGUGAACUGAGUGGAAAUCAAGAGUUGGACGCUUGCCCACUGAGCCACCCAGGCGCCCGCCCUACUUCCUGCAUGUUUUGUAACAGCCAUCCUAACGGGCGUGAAGUGGUACCUCACUGUGGUUCUGUUUUGUGUUUUUCCCUGAUGGUUGUGAACCUGGAGCGUUUUUGUUUGUGCUUAUCGGCCACCCGUGCAUCUUCCUGGGAGAAGUGUGCGUUCAGGUCCUCUGCUCAUUUUUAGAUCUGGUUGUUUGCUUUUUCUGAUGUUUAACGUAAUUUUAAGUCAAAGAGCCUGUGGGAGUCCGUGGUUUUGUUAGAAAUUCUUUGGUCAGAGGGAGAAGAGAAUCUGGGUACCUUCUGCCCAACGAAAACGAAAAAUUUACAGCUGAGAUCAACUCCUAAGUUCAGCUGACCCCGAAUAGCAAGUUUAAACAAGACAGAAAUGUUUCCCAUAAAAGUCCAGACUGCAGCGCUGGGUCCCAUUAAGUCCUCAGGGUAAGUGGUUUCUCUGGAAGGACAGUUCUUUUGGAGACGUGGCUUUCACCUGUUGGCUUUCGUUGCUUCUGUGUGUGAGACACGACACCCAUGGUCUCCUGGCAGCGUGACACCGUAGACGAUCAGACUCACCCUUAUUUUGUGUACCGGGAAAAAUGGCGCUAACCUCUGACACUCACCCGGGCUGUGAGAUAAUGCUAAUUUCGGAGACGUUAAAAUGUGAAGGAGUUAGUAUCUUCAAAGUCUCAAGCCUAAGGCCUCCGGGCUGUCUAUGUGCUGACUCCUGGGUUCUGCGCACCCCCAGCUGUCUCAGUGGCUUCCUUGGGGCCGUUGGGAACAGUCGCCUGGGCUGGGAAGACAGCAGCCUUAACCUGAUCUUUGCUGCUGGUCAGCCUGUCAACAUUUCAGGGAGGUCGAGGAGGGCUUGGCCCCAGGAUCCUAUCCUGCCCUCGCCGCCUCUCCCAAACUGUCGGUGUGACUGCUCCAGUUUGGGGACGAGGCCUGUCUUCAUCCCUAAGGGGCCCCAAGAGUGAAGGUGACAGGCGGAGACCCCCGGACAGAGCUCCGUGUCUCCAUGGCCUGCUUCACUCAGCCUGCAGCCCCCACCCGCCACCCUCCUGCCCUCCCAGCUACCCACGAGCCGCUGCCAGUCCUUCAGGGUCCUUCCCUCCCCCUCCCUGGGGUUGCCCGGAUCUCUCCUUGUCCCGUACCUUCACCCCUCUAGCUCCUACCCAGUCUUCCACAUCUCAGCUGGCGAGCCCGUCGGAUGGACCCCACGGGUCACACGCCUCGCCUCCCUGCACCCGUCCAUCUCGGGCCUCGUGUGUUACUGAAUUCCUGAUCGUGAGAUUCCUUGCUGCGUGCCCCUCUCCCCUGCUAGAAUGUAACAGCUUCAUGAGAGCUGAGGUAGCUCUUUUUGUCUUCAUUGGGAUUUUUCCCCCUACUUUCUCAAGAGUGGUGGCUAACCUGUGUUCCGCAUUUGGCGUUUUCCUCGCGCCUGGUUUUCCACCCACAUCAUGAAGGUGAUGAGAAGGAUGCUCUAAUUUCAUGGAACCGAAGGAGCCCCGUGGUUGCCACAGACACUGGUCAUUCACUCACUCGUUCACCGCGUGUGCACCGAGCUCCUGCCGUGUGCCAUCACCGUGUCCGGGGCCCUGCAGUGAACCUGACAGCAGUGACAGCAGCGUCCUGCCCCCACGGGGCCCCCGUGCAGGAGCAGAGGCCGAAAGCAGCCAACGCCGUAAAGUGCGAAGCGGCCGUGGCGCCCAGCACCUCUCCUCCCUUCCGCUCCAGCCCUGCUGCGGCUUUUCUUCUGGGUCUUAAAGCUGCCGCUGCCCCCGGCCUCCGGGUCUGGAUCCACGCAGCUCCUUCUGCCCAGAACUCUCUUCCUACCGCCGAACUACGCAAGCCUCAGCUCCCGUGUCUGCUCGUCGGAGGCCUCCCCCGAUCCCACAGAACUGGCCAAGGGCCCCCCCGAGUCCGAGACCCGCCCCGGCUCGCCUGCCGUAGCCUCUUCCACCGAACAGUGAGAUGUUGGGGGGCGGGAACUGGGCCCAGACUCGUCCUCAGCUCUGUCCUAAAACAGCAUAUGGCAUGUGGUUGGUGUUCGGUAGGUAAAUGGUGGGUGAGUGAAUCAAUGAGCCCCUGGGACUUGGGAGACAGACCCACACAGCCCUGGGACCCGAAGGGUGACCCGGGGGUUGGCCCUGGCAGGUGAACUGUAACUGACUAGUUUUUAGUACGUUAUGUUGUCCUGUGUCUCGGGCAGAUUAAGGGGGGGGGGGGUCUGGCCUCCUGGGAGGGGACGUGGGGAGCGGCUGGGGACACUGUGGCAUCUCCAUCCUGGAGACUUCCUACACCUGUCUGCCUCCGUCCCCAGAAUGCAGAUGGGGAGUGUGUGGAAAAGCGAACUCUAGCUGGCCUCUCAAGGGACCCUUCCAACGUCCCAAAGAACAGAAUCUCCCCCAGCUGCCACCUGGGAGGGUGGCUGUCCCUGGAGGGGUGGAGUGGCCGCUCUGCUGCCGCUCUGUCCUCACGGAAGUGGCCCGCACGUGGCCCGGACAACAACAAAACGUUGGAUUUUCCGGAACUAUUUCCCCACGUGCUGUUUGAAUGUAGCGUUCUGAUGUUCUGAGGAUUUACAGCAUUUUGGUGCAAUGAAAAGUUUCUACUGGGCACCCCGAGUCAGAGAUCGGGGUUCAGACCCUUGCCGCGGUCUGGCGGCUUCCCGACCCAUGUCCUUGGGUGCGUCACCUACUCAUCCUGUGGAAAGGGUGACAGCACCAGUGGGCAGGUACAGAAGGCUGCACGUGGGCCGACCUGAGAACAGGGCCCUAACUGGUAAGACAGGUCAGCUGUCCCCAGCUCUUCACGUCCCCCACCCCGUCUCGUCAAGACCAGUGCCAUCUGGACGGGGCACAGUGCCCUGCCCUCUGAGUUCAGCUUCCUUGUGCGCACCUUCUCCAGGGGCGGGGGGGGGGGGGGAGCCAUUAAGUGUGGAGUCUACAGGGUUAAAGCCUUGCUGCUCUGGGGGCUGUUGCCCAGAGCAAAUGGGUGACAGAGCAGUCCGUCAUCGGGACUCUGCCCGCAGGGAGUAGGACAGGCGAAGUCAGCCACAGGCCGCAGGUGACCAGGGCCCUCCCCAGCCAUGUGAGGGGGGUCGGCCAGGCUGUGCAGGAAGUCAUGAGGGGAAGCCAGGGCUCCAUGGGACCAGGCUGUGGCCAGAGGGGGUGGCCUGAGGUUGGACCUCGCUGACUGGGUGGCGUUCAGGGACAUCCCCCUGUCGUGGCACCAGGCUGAGCCCUGACCACAGGGUACUCCUUUUCAGGUCCUCUUUGUCUGACUGGAGGCGGCAGGGUUUCUCUCUCCGUUUCCAGAAGCCGCCAAAACAGCCUCUGAAAGUCCCCAGAGUCCUCUCUGCCUUAUGGCAGGGCAGCAAGGGGCCCGGGUGCAGAAGGGACCAUUCUUGGCUACCCUGGACUGGGAACCCAUGGGAUCUCAGCUGGGAAAGAAGGUGAGGGAGGCUUGGAGAAUUUUCCAGAUCUCAGAUAUGGUGGGGGGGGGGGGGGGGGCGGGGAUCUUUCCUGCCCUCAGGGCUGGGGAAUCAAAACCCCAGCCCAGAGGGAGACCUCUCCUUUCUAAUCCCAACAAAUUCGGACAACCUCCCCAGCCCCCCUUGCCAAAGUCUGCUGGGAGUGGGAGGAACAGCACGAGAAACACCCUCCCGGGUUGGCGGGGUCAGUCCCAGCCAAGUGGGCAGAGCACUGAGCCUGGAGCCGUGGGCCUCUGAACCUCAGUUUCCUCAUCUGCGGAAUGGGGAUUUUAAUGCUGGCUACCUUAUGAGGGUGUUUCGAGGACUAAAUGAGAUAAUAAAUGCUUAGUGCAACAGCUAA